rnacentral:rRNA from 1 species
UACAGAGGUGGCAAGCGUUGUUCGGAAUUACUGGGCGUAAAGGGUGCGUAGGCGGCCUUCUAAGUCAGACGUGAAAUCCCCCGGCUUAACCUGGGAACUGCGUCUGAUACUGGGAGGCUAGAGUGCGGGAGAGGGAUGCGGAAUUCCAGGUGUAGCGGUGAAAUGCGUAGAUAUCUGGAGGAACACCGGUGGCGAAGGCGGCAUCCUGGACCGACACUGACGCUGAGGCGCGAAAGCUAGGGUAGCAAACGGG